GUCAGCAGGGUUAAAGAACAUCAGUUGUUCGACCUGUUAGUCAAAUGCGUUUUGUUUGAAUAUACUUUUUCACUUUUUUGGUCUUUUGGAAAAUGUUGUUUGUGCUGUUUUUAGACCCUUCUACAACGAAAUUUGUUUUACAUGCACACGUAUAAAAAAUGCGGUUUUUAUCCAACGCAAUCAUAGGUUUGAACGUAGUUUUCAAUUUAGACUCGUUUAUAUUUUUUCUUUUGGGCUUGUAUCAUAUUUUCCCUCCGGUUUAUAUGAUCCGUUCAUCCUACAUUGACUCUUAAAAUUCAAGAGUUUAUCUAAAAAUGAGGGUACUUUUUCUAAAAAUGAGGGUACUUUUUAUAUGGCCUUCCAAAUACCGUUUUGAUCCCUAACAUCACUGAAGAGACAUUUAUUGUCGAAAUCCGCAUCUGG
rnacentral:lncRNA from 1 species